rnacentral:rRNA from 1 species
UACGUAGGGAGCAAGCGUUGUUCGGAUUUACUGGGCGUAAAGGGCGCGUAGGCGGCGCGGUAAGUCACUUGUGAAAUCUCUGAGCUUAACUCAGAACGGCCAAGUGAUACUGCAGUGCUAGAGUGCAGAAGGGGCAAUCGGAAUUCUUGGUGUAGCGGUGAAAUGCGUAGAGAUCGGGAGGAACACCCGUGGCGAAGGCGGCCACCUGGGCCGACCCUGACGCUGAGGCGCGAAGGCGUGGGGAGCGAACGGG